AGCAAAAGUUCAGUGUUACUCACGCAGAUCAAGUCUUUCUCCCUGGAUAGAAGCAUGACCACAAAACUACCACCUCAAGAGGAGUUUGAGAACUGGACAGCUUGUCAAGUUGCAGAUCUCUUAAGACAGUUUGGAAUGCCUGAAGCUGCUGUGGUUGUAGAAAAACUGUGCAUGACUGGAUCUCAUUUCUUGAAUGCAACAGAAUAUGAGCUGAGCAGAUUCAAAACAAUGCACCAGCCAAAGCUUCAGAAGAUGGUGCAUGACAUCAAGAAAAAUGAAAGUGGGAUAAUAAACAAGUUCAAAAAGUAAGUUUGCAACACCAAUCCCUAGUUUUAUCAAUGUGGGGAAGUUUGGAUUAUGAGCAUAGAGGUGUGUGGUACUUUAGUGAUGGG
rnacentral:lncRNA from 1 species